rnacentral:rRNA from 1 species
CCCUUAGAUGUUCUGGGCCGCACGCGCGCUACACUGAUGCGUUCAACAAGUUUCCUUGGCCGAGAGGCCUGGGCAAUCUUCUUAAUAUGUAUCGUGAUAGGGAUAGAUUAUUGCAAUUAUUAAUCUUGAACGAGGAAUUCCUAGUAAACGCAGAUCGUCAAUCUGCAUUGAUUACGUCCCUGCCCUUUGUACACACCGCCCGUCGCACCUACCGAUUGGAUGUUCCGGUGAAGCCUCGGGAUGAGGACUGGUGCCUUUAUUGGCAUGAGUUGUUCAGAACUUGUCUAAACCUUAUCAUCUAGAGGAAGGUGAAGUCGUAACA